rnacentral:lncRNA from 1 species
AAAAAUUCUUGCUGUCAGCAAGUGAUGUUACAAACCUGCUCUGACAAGGCUGGUUGUAUAUUUACAGUUGGUGAGAGCGAAGGCUUCAUCAAUCUUCACGCUUUGAAAGGGACAGGCCCGCUCCCAUGAGCACCUGCUCCGGGAGAACAGCUGAACUGUGACUUUCCAGGGAGCUAGCUGUAAAUUUUAGCCAUUCCCCCCGCAGCCCACGCAUGCUUGAGCUCUUUAACCUUCCCAGGCUGGCAGGAGUCCCAGCAAUCAGUUUAGUGCAAAGACUGGGGUUCUUUUUAAUUAACCUUUUGUUUCCCACUGCAGGUGUUUCGAAGUUUCUUAAUGUUAAAAAGGAAGAGGAAAGAAGCUGUUUGCAGAGGUGCAUCCACUCUCUUCCACUCUUGCUAUGCUCGGUGAUCAAAUGGGAGCGGUCUUUCUCAUGUUUCUGCUCCUCAUUUGCCUCCUGCAUGUAAGAUUAUAACAACAUCUGCUCCGAACCUCUGUAGGCAUCUACACAAAGUAUUCCCGUGAGUACAUUUCAGUUCUGUCCUGCAAGGUCACCCUUCCAUCCUUUGUGAGGCAUCUGCUUUUCCAACCCACUCCGCUUUCUCCAGGCAACGUUCUCCCGACGCCUGCCUCCCUCAGUGGGUUGAUGUUCUGUUUAAUUAGUUUGGCCUCUCGCACCCGGCCGGGGGAAGUUUGAUUAGAGACUCAGACAACACUUCUGUUCCUUCAGCCUCCGGUCCUCCCAGAGCACACACCCGAUGGAAGGAGAAAAAAAUGCCCUUUCCUACAACUCCAGCCAGCCCGUCCUGCUUGGACCAUCCACGCUGGUGGUGUGUUGUCUGCCUGGGAGCUCCUGCAGCCCUGCCUGCGUGGAGGAACAAGGAUGUGAUAAUACCGGGCCCUGGAGCUGCAAAUGCAGAACGAACCAAGGAGUAAAAGAAUUGACAAGACAAGCAGUGGUGGGAAAUGGAGGGAAGACUGUGAAAAAGGUUAUAAUAAAUAAUAAGAAAUGUUGCAUGGGCCAAAGGAAUAAUAGAUCAGCGAUGGAAAGACUCUAAAAGCUGCUGAGGGUUAUUUAUUGAUGGACAUUGUUUAAAAGAAAAAAAAAUCAGUGACAGUUUUCCUUCGUGCUCACCAAGGCAGAUGGCGGGGCAGGUGCCAGAAUGAAAGAUAAAUUUCCUUUUGCAUAAAGAAGAAAUAUUGAAGGAAACUGAGCAGAGGUGAUGGAGAAAUUAGAGCGUUGAAAGACCCUGAAAGCACGCGGUCCAUGUCAGCCCUCUCUCAGGAUUUUCAGCUGAGUCAGCAGAAAGCAGGAAAAACUGUUGCGGGAAAUGAGAACCUCUUUGAAGACCAGUAAUGGAGAGGUUCCUGCAAGUGUCACGUCCAGAGGUCUGAGGAAAGCCUUCCAGGAAUUAAAGUUGGUGGUGCAGAAGGUACCUCUGCGUGGCUGAGUGGCCAACGUGCAUCGUAAUCUGGGACUGCAGUAGAGACAUAGUUAGAAGUUAUGAAUGUAAUGAAGGGAAACCAUCAAAGAUUCAGAAAUUGGAAGCUGGGCCAAUAAUGGGAGAGGAAAACGGACAGAGGGUUUCUGAGGAGUUUGUGCAAAUCAUGAGCCAGGGAGAGCCAAGAGAUACAACUUGUGCAGUGGCAGCAAAGGUUGGGUGUAACACGUUCAAAAAGCAUAACAUGGAGUGGAAGUGAUGAGUGUGGGACAUGGAAGCGCCUGGUGGAGCUCUGAGCUG